CACGGAGACUUACUGAUGCUUAUUGCACCACAUGUGUUGUUUAUUGAACAAGUUUCUUUGGUGGCGGGAGCAAUCCUACCGCCAGAGGUUAUAACUAAACCAAACUUUUUAUUUACAGUCAAACUUGAUUUAUUAUUACAAUAGUCAAAACUUUCAACAACGGAUCUCUUGGUUCUCGCAUCGAUGAAGAACGCAGCGAAAUGCGAUACGUAAUAUGAAUUGCAGAUAUUCGUGAAUCAUCGAAUCUUUGAACGCACAUUGCGCCCUUUGGUAUUCCAAAGGGCAUGCCUGUUUGAGCGUCAUUUCUCCCUCAAACCCCCGGGUUUGGUGUUGAGCAAUACGCUAGGUUUGUUUGAAAGAAUUUACGUGGAAACUUAUUUUAAGCGACUUAGGUUUAUCCAAAACGCUUAUUUUGCUAGUGGCCACCACAAUUUAUUUCAUAACUUUGACCUCAAAUCAGGUAGGACUACCCGCUGAACUUAAGCAUAUCAAUAAGCGGAGGAAAAAAAACCCACC
rnacentral:rRNA from 1 species